rnacentral:rRNA from 1 species
UACGGAGGGUGCAAGCGUUAUCCGGAUUCACUGGGUUUAAAGGGUGCGUAGGCGGGCAGGUAAGUCAGUGGUGAAAUCUCCGGGCUUAACCCGGAACUGCCGUUGAUACUAUCUGUCUUGAAUAUCGUGGAGGUAAGCGGAAUAUGUCAUGUAGCGGUGAAAUGCUUAGAUAUGACAUAGAACACCCAUUGCGAAGGCAGCUUACUACACGAUCAUUGACGCUGAGGCACGAGAGCGUGGGGAGCAAACAGG